CUCGCUACUACGCUAUCCCUCGCUGCUAAGCUAUCUAUCGCUGCUAAUCUAUCUAUCGCUGCCAAUCUAUCUAUCACUGCUAAGCUAGCUAUCGCUGCCAAUCUAUCUAUCGCUGCCAAUCUAUCUAUCGCUGCUAAGCUAUCCCUCGCUGCUAAGCUAUCUAUCACUGCUAAGCUAGCUAUCGCUGCUAAUCUAUAUAGGGUAAAUCAUGGUCCCGUUUGGUCCCAUUUUGUAAAAUGGGACCAAAUGGGACCAGGACUGAUAAUUUAUAACUAAAACAUGAUCUGGGACUAGAAUUAUAAUAUAAAUCAUGUAAAGUGACUGAUUUCAUAAACACUAUAUGAGGACCAGGACUAAGAUAUUUGAGAAUGGGACUGAG
rnacentral:sRNA from 1 species